rnacentral:rRNA from 1 species
ACCUUAGCGGCGGACGGGUGAGUAACGCGUGGGUAACCUGCCUCAUACAGGGGGAUAACAGUUAGAAAUGACUGCUAAAACCGCAUAAGCGCACAUUGUCGAGUGACAGAGUGUGAAAAACUCCGGUGGUAUGAGAUGGACCCGCGUCUGAUUAGCUAGUUGGUGAGGUAACGGCCCACCAAGGCGACGAUCAGUAGCCGGCCUGAGAGGGCGACCGGCCACAUUGGGACUGAGACACGGCCCAAACUCCUACGGGAGGCAGCAGUGGGGAAUAUUGCACAAUGGGGGAAACCCUGAUGCAGCGACGCCGCGUGAGUGAAGAAGUAUUUCGGUAUGUAAAGCUCUAUCAGCAGGGAAGAAGAAAGACGGUACCUGACUAAGAAGCCCCGGCUAACUACGUGCCAGCAGCCGCGGUAAUACGUAGGGGGCAAGCGUUAUCCGGAUUUACUGGGUGUAAAGGGAGCGUAGACGGCUGUGCAAGUCUGAAGUGAAAGCCCAGGGCUCAACCCUGGGACUGCUUUGGAAACUGUGGAGCUAGAGUGCUGGAGAGGUAAGUGGAAUUCCUAGUGUAGCGGUGAAAUGUGUAGAUAUUAGGAGGAACACCAGUGGCGAAGGCGGCUUACUGGACAGUAACUGACGUUGAGGCUCGAAAGCGUGGGGAGCAAACAGGAUUAGAUACCCUGGUAGUCCACGCGGUAAACGAUGAAUACUAGGUGU